UACGUAGGGUGCGAGCGUUAAUCGGAAUUACUGGGCGUAAAGCGUGCGCAGGCGGUUUGCUAAGACCGAUGUGAAAUCCCCGGGCUUAACCUGGGAACUGCAUUGGUGACUGGCAGGCUAGAGUAUGGCAGAGGGGGGUAGAAUUCCACGUGUAGCAGUGAAAUGCGUAGAGAUGUGGAGGAAUACCGAUGGCGAAGGCAGCCCCCUGGGCCAAUACUGACGCUCAUGCACGAAAGCGUGGGGAGCAAA
rnacentral:rRNA from 1 species